rnacentral:rRNA from 1 species
UACGUAGGGACCGAGCGUUGUCCGGAUUCAUUGGGCGUAAAGAGCUCGUAGGCGGCUGCUCAAGUCGAAUGUGAAACCUCGAGGCUUAACCUCGAGCCUGCAUUCGAUACUGGGCGGCUAGAGUCUGGUAGGGGGAUCUGGAAUUCCUGGUGUAGCGGUGGAAUGCGCAGAUAUCAGGAGGAACACCGAUGGCGAAAGCAAUCUUCUGGACGGAUACUGACGCUGAGAUACGAAAGCUAGGGGAGCAAACAGG